UACGUAGGGUGCAAGCGUUAAUCGGAAUUACUGGGCGUAAAGCGUGCGCAGGCGGUUAUGUAAGACAGAUGUGAAAUCCCCGGGCUCACUGGGAACUGCAUUUGUGACUGCAUAGCUAGAGUACGGUAGAGGGGGAUGGAAUUCCGCGUGUAGCAGUGAAAUGCGUAGAUAUGCGGAGGAACACCGAUGGCGAAGGCAAUCCCCUGGACCUGUACUGACGCUCAUGC
rnacentral:rRNA from 1 species